GCCUUUGGGAGGCAGAGACGCAAGAGGGCAUCAGAGGAGCGAUGGAAGGAAAGAGGGACAGAGGCUACUGUGCUGGUCCCGUUGGUUACCUGAGAGGCGAGGUCGAAGUCCAGUCCGUGGUCAAAGGUGCAACGUGGAGGCAGUCCGUAGUAGCUGAAGCUGGGUGCAGGGCAGGGAGUCGGGUGAAGUCAGGAACAGUCAAGCAAGCAGGGAGCCAGGGCGGGUCAGGAGCUCAGGCAGGAAAGCUGGAGAGGGUUCAAGCAGGAACUAACAACCAACAAUGUUGCUCCCGCAACUUGGGACUGGGGCUGGCCAACUUUUAUCUGUCCCGAGGCAUAGGGCAGCCCCAAUCUUCUGGAGACUCGCCUCUCUUGGCCUGGAGGCGAGCACUCCUUCUGUGGGAACUUACUUCCCUCUGCCUCUCUGCCCUGAGCCUCUGCAGUUCAGGAGAGGCUGGAGGUUUACCAGACCCAGAGGCAACUUCAGCUUCCUCUGACGGGGCUGAGAGUGGAGAACCUGCAGGCAAUGGGUCCUCCAUUAUCUCAGGAGCCAGAGCAGACUCAGCUGAUGCCUGUACCUGAGGAUCCAGCACAGGUGAGGACCCUUCAGGCUCAAGCCCCAGCCCCGGCUCAGCUGGUUCUGGAGGCGGGGAAUCCUGUGCUGGCUGGGAUCCCUCAGGUUCAGCAUCCAAGUCCGAAUCCCAGGCCAUCACAGCUACUGCUGCUUGCGGCAUGCCUAACCAUCAUUCAAGCCUCCCCCCCCCCCAGGGUGCCACAGCACACUGGUUGGAAACCACUGAUGUGAAAAAUAAAAUCAUACCAAACAGAAAUAAUUUUGUCCUUACUCCGGACACGGAGCAAUGGAUCCAAACUACAAGAAAGAAGAUUCCACCUAAACAUUAGGAAGAACUUCCUGACAGUAAGAGCUGUUCGACAGUGGAAUUUGCUGCCAAGGAGUGUGGUGGAGUCUCCUUCUUUGGAGGUCUUUAAGCAGAGGCUUGACAACCAUAUGUCAGGAGUGCUCUGAUGGUGUUUCCUGCUUGGCAGGGGGUUGGACUCGAUGACCCUUGUGGUCUCUUCCAACUCUAUGAUUCUAUGAUUCUAUGAUUCUACUUGACUUCUAGAGGCUCUCAGGUUAUAUGUCACUUUUUUCCUAGUAGGGCUGAUUCCUGUACAUUUGUGAACCAGUAAGAAAUAUCUGCUCUAGCUAGAUCCUUCCAAAAUGGGGCUAUUGUGGCUCUGGCUGCAGUAAACAUAUGGAUAAUUGAGAUCUUACAACAUAAUCCUUUAUCACUCUCUUCAAAGAUGUUUAGAUGAGCCAGUUGUGGAGUGCAUGCUACACUGCAAUUUGGACUUGCACUAAUCCCCUAAAACACAGAGAGCCAGAACCUUUGUACUUUUCCACAAUCCCACCAGAGAUGUCUACAAGUACCCACCAGCUGGUAUCUUGUGCAACAGCAUGGUGAUAGUGUAGAAUUUAUAUAGGAUAACAUCAUGGUGCUAAUAGCACUUACGUAGCCUUUUAAUUGCUGCCUCUUUGUCUGUAGCUGAGAUGGACCUAAAUGGGGGUUUCUUCCACCUUGUCUGGCAUUCCUGUUCCUCCAGUUUCAAACCCAAAUUCUUGCUCCCACAUUAUUUUAGGGCCUUCUGUACCAUUCAUUUAUUUUCUGUUUUGCAUGAAAACUGGGAAUCGGUGGGUUAUGGCCCUUUUUUGGGGUUGGUGAAACACCCUCUCCCAGCAGAUGCCCAUGUCCAACAAAAAUAUUUGUUUUGUUGUAAUCAAAUGUUGCUUUUGAGCCAUAGUAAGUGGUUUCAGUCACCCCGUGAAGCCACCCAUUCAAGCUUUCCUCAUCUGACUUUGCCCAAAUAGUGCCAGCUGAAAGAGUGGGUAAGGGCAAGCAUUUCUGCUACUGAGCAUUUGCCUUUUCUAUACAGUGGUACCUCAGGUUAAGUACUUAAUUCGUUCCGGAGGUCUGUACUUAACCUGAAGCUGUUCUUAACCUGAAGCACCAGUUUAGCUAAUGGGGCUUCCCGCCGCUGCCGUGCUGCCGUGCGAUUUCUGUUCUCAUCCUGAAGCAAAGUACUUAACCCGAGGUACUAUUUCUGGGUUAGCGGAGUCUGUAACCUGAAGCGUAUGUAACCUGAGGUACCACUGUACUUGUUUUCACAGUGUGGAAGAAGCACAGCUACUAUUUAGGAUUCCCCCAAAACCUCAAAACUGCAGUGCUGUCCACAGAGAGCAGGUGCAUACCCAUAAGACUUGGGAGAAAGAAAUAUUUUAUGUCUUAUCUUGGGCCAAACGGUUUAGAAGCAAUUGAUAUCAACGUUGUUGAGAAUACUGGCCUGUGAAAAAGGCCAGGCAGGAAGCCUGUGGAAAACCAUGAACCGACCUUCUAAUUGGCAGUCCUGAAAUCUGUUCCUCAAUGGACAAUUAAUAUCAUUAAGUAUCAACAUUGUAAAAACUUGAAAUAGUUCCAUUACAAUCACUGAUGGGAAUGAAGAUUCAUUUUGCUCAGAUAACCUGCCUUCCUUUCUGGGUUUGAAAAGACUGAACUGGUCCUUUAUAAACCCCAUCUCCAAAAUGUAAGGGGCUAAUUGUUUUAAAUGAUCUUUAUUGUAGGCAUCAUCUGGAAAAGAUCUUGUGAAUUUUGAACACAUGCUGUAAGUGAACCUUAGAUAUAUGUGCUUUGGCAGUUCCACAGAACUCCUCCACAGAAAAUUAAAUUGAUUCUUUGCAUAUGGAAGAUCCACAUCCCCCUCCCUCUCUCUCUCUCUCCAGUCAAACUGCACCCUAUGCCUUUACAGGGAGGUAGUUUUAUUGGACAAAGACUAUAUCCACUUGUUAUCAGUGGUUAUACUGCUUUGGGUAGCUCUGCUUGUUGGGUAAUUUAGGAAUUAGCUGCUCUCAUGCAACUUAUGUAUGUCAAAUCAUUCAAAUGCACUCAUGUAGGGGGUGAUUUAUGGGCACAGCAGGCAAGGGCAGUGUUCCCCAUUUCCUUGGGGCAACAAGGGAGGCUGCCUACUCCCAUAACAGCCUCUUAAUUACCCAUGUGGAUCGGAGAACAUGAUAUUGUGGCAGCAUCGGAUGUCCAAUGCACCCCCUAGUGGCCCCCCAGGUCGAGAACAGUUUCAGGUUAAGAACGGACCUCCAGAACGAAUUAAGUUCUUAACCCGAGGUACCACUGUAUUCACAUGCAUGACUUAAUGAAGCAAUUGCAGACCCAAUGUGGGGUAUACAGUCUGCAAUGCAGGACCUAGCAUUAACAUGGAUUGUCCUAGGAAGAUGGUAUCUGUCUUUUCUCUCUAUGUGCUUAUAAGGUGCUGAAGUGCCUCAAAGAGAAUAUGGGAAGUAGCUUUAUAAUAGGGAUAAAUAAACAAACUUCCUCUGUUCCAUCCUGCCCCCAUUUUUGGGUUCCAUCCACCCUGCAUUCUGCUUCUCUUCUUCUAUGAGUAAGAGAAUGUCCAAAAUCAAAGCACAUGCACUUGAUUGCACCUUUCCAUUCAUUUGUAUCUCUCCCUACUCCAGAUUGCCAAGGCACAUGCUGUGCACAUUGAUAAUACACAGGAAAAGAAAAGGAAAGAAAAAGAGCAAUCUUGAUGCGAUUGGGGGAAAGGCAGCCUUGAUUUGAUUCCACCAAAACUCUGUGGGGUGUUUUACUGAUGCACCUUGUAUGCAUUGAUGAAACACCUCAAAAAGCAACUUUGAUGAGAUGGUGCACAAGGGUUAAGAUUAUUUGGUGUCUGGGAUUUCAUCAAUGCACAAAAGUACAUAUGUGUACUCGUAAAACACAGAGUAAAAAAUAAUCUUGAUUCAAUCAUAUUAACAUCUAUUCCAGUUACAUUUAGUUUCCUUAGAAUGUAGGAAUAAAAAGAUGGAUAACAUUUUCUGUGAUGCAAGGUUUAUUUAUACAUUAACAGGGAGUGUCCAGCAAUGCCUGGAUAUUUUUAGAAACCAAAAAUUAUUGAGAUUUUUGAAUGGGUUGUGAGUUUGGACCUGUCAUGGCCAAAAUAAGGUGAAGUCAAUCCAAUGUCACAUUUUGGUCCACCAGCUUAAUUCAAAAUGGCACAUACAAACAUAAAUGGAACUUUUGCGCCAUGUUUGGUGACAAUAUCUCAAGAGGCAGCCAUACUUAUGUAAAAAAAAUGGGCAAAGUCACACCAAAUUGAUAUAUUGCUCUGUCAUCUUGAUUCAAAAUGGUGUUUGGUGUCCAAAUGGUGUCCAAACCUGCCGCCUUGCCCCAGGAACCCUCGUGGCAGCCAGAGACAACUUCCAGCUCAGUUUCAAUCCUAUAACAAUAUGUAAAGGUAAAAGGUAGAAGACCCCUGGACAGUUGUCCAGUCAAAGGUGACUAUGGGGUUGUGGCGCUCAUCUUGCUUUCAGGCCAAGGGAGUCAGCGUUUGUCCACAGACAGCUUUCCAGGUCAUGUGGCCAGCAUGCCUAAACUGCUUCUGGCACAAUGGGACACCGUGACGGAGCCCCCAGAAAUGCCAUUUACAAUAUGUAUGACCACACCUAGGGUUGCCAUACAUCCGGAAUUUCCCAGAUAUAGCUGGUAUCCAGCUGUUGGAAACAGUGUCUGGGCAGAAAUCUCUGCAAUGUCCAGGGAAACCCAUGUCAGAAGAGUAGUUUUUGGCGAAGCAAAACACAGUUUUGGGCAACACUGAAAAAAGGUCAACAUCUUGUGUGUCUGGAUUUUAACUUUAUGAAAUAUGGCAACCUACACCAAUACUUCUUUUUCCUUUCCCUUUUUUGCAGUGCUUUGUCAGUGUAGACAUGCACAUUGGAAGACAUGCAUGAACCAAAGGAAUUGAAAACUGCACAUGAAACACACUGCAUAUGAAAUAAUACUUUAUACCUCAAGAAAUAGCUGUGCCUUGCUAGUCAACUGUCGCUAUUCAUAAGAUGUAACACUGGCCAGCCAUUAGAGAUGGAUUAACAACCCUUGCUUGCCUCAGAAAACAUCUGGGUUUUAUGUCUGUUCCUUGUAACAACUUGCAAAGCCUUGAGGAGUUGUGUCGCUGCUUGCAAUGAUCACAAAAUGAAGAUAGGAACACCCACCCCACCCCCAACUCCCUCAGAAGCAAUACUC